ACUGGCUGGCUCAGUUGGUGGAGCAUGCAACUCUUGAUCUCGCAGUUGUGGGUUCAAGCCCCACAUUGAGUG
rnacentral:tRNA from 1 species